rnacentral:rRNA from 1 species
CCUACGGGUGGCAGCAGUGGGGAAUAUUGGGCAAUGGAGGCAACUCUGACCCAGCAACGCCGCGUGAAUGAUGAAGGUCUUCGGAUUGUAAAGUUCUUUUCUAAGGGAAGAAGAAAGUGUCGGUACCUGAAGAAAAAGCAUCGGCUAACUCUGUGCCAGCAGCCGCGGUAAUACGGAGGAUGCGAGCGUUAUCCGGAUUUAUUGGGUUUAAAGGGUGCGCAGGCGGAGGCACAAGUCAGCGGUAAAAUCGCGGGGCUCAACCCCGCUCGGCCGUUGAAACUGUGUCCGUUGAGUGAGCGAAGGGUAGGCGGAAUGGGUGGUGUGGCGGUGAAAUGCAUAGAUAUCACGCAGAACUCCGAUCGCGAGGGCAGCCUACCGGCGCGAAACUGACGCUCAUGCACGAAAGCGUGGGUAUCGAACAGGAUUAGAUACCCUUGUAGU